GAUGAACGCUGGCGGCGUGCCUAAUACAUGCAAGUCGAGCGAACAGACGAGGAGCUUGCUCCUCUGACGUUAGCGGCGGACGGGUGAGUAACACGUGGAUAACCUACCUAUAAGACUGGGAUAACUUCGGGAAACCGGAGCUUAUACCGGAUAAUAUAUUGAACCGCAUGGUUCAAUAGUGAAAUACGGUUUUGCUGUCACUUAUAGAUGGAUCCGCGCCGCAUUAGCUAGUUGGUAAGGUAACGGCUUACCAAGGCAACGAUGCGUAGCCGACCUGAGAGGGUGAUCGGCCACACUGGAACUGAGACACGGUCCAGACUCCUACGGGAGGCAGCAGUAGGGAAUCUUCCGCAAUGGGCGAAAGCCUGACGGAGCAACGCCGCGUGAGUGAUGAAGGUCUUCGGAUCGUAAAACUCUGUUAUUAGGGAAGAACAAAUGUGUAAGUAACUAUGCACGUCUUGACGGUACCUAAUCAGAAAGCCACGGCUAACUACGUG
rnacentral:rRNA from 1 species